AAGUCGUAACAAGGUUUCCGUAGGUGAACCUGCGGAAGGAUCAUUAACAAAUCUGAACUGAUCUAGCUAGUAGAUAUAUGUAUAAUAGCCUCGCGGCUAGUUUAGUAGUCUACUACUAGGUCACACAUUGACUCGGGCUCGGAACUGCUGUGCCUUUGGGGGUACUGUUGUGGGGUCGAGUCUUGAGACACAUUCACGCUUGUUGUGUUUGACUGAGUAUUAGUUGGGAAAUAAUAAAGACAACUUUUAACAAUGGAUCUCUUGGCUCUU
rnacentral:misc_RNA from 1 species